rnacentral:rRNA from 1 species
GGGUGCAAGCGUGUCCGGAAUUAUUGGGCGUAAAGAGCUCGUAGGCGGCUUGUCGCGUCUGCUGUGAAAUCCCGGGGCUCAACCCCGGGCCUGCAGUGGGUACGGGCAAGCUAGAGUGCGGUAGGGGAGAUUGGAAUUCCUGGUGUAGCGGUGGAAUGCGCAGAUAUCAGGAGGAACACCGAUGGCGAAGGCAGAUCUCUGGGCCGCUACUGACGCUGAGGAGCGAAAGCAUGGGGAGCGAACAGGAUUAGAUACCCUGGUAGUCCAUGCCGUAAACGUUGGGAACUAGAUGUAGGGCCUGUUCCACGGGUUCUGUGUCGUAGCUAACGCAUUAAGUUCCCCGCCUGGGGAGUACGGCCGCAAGGCUAAAACUCAAAGGAAUUGACGGGGGCCCGCACAAGCGGCGGAGCAUGCGGAUUAAUUCGAUGCAACGCGAACAACCUUACCAAGGCUUGACAUAUACGAGAACGCUGUAGAGAUACAGAACUCUUUGGACACUCGUAUACAGGUGGUGCAUGGUUGUCGUCAGCUCGUGUCGUGAGAUGUUCGGUUAAGUCCGGCAACGAGCGCAACCCUCGUCCUAUGUUGCCAGCACGUAAUGGUGGGAACUCAUGGGAUACUGCCGUGGUCAACACGGAGGAAGGUGGGGAUGACGUCAAAUCAUCAUGCCCCUUAUGUCUUGGGCUUCACGCAUGCUACAAUGGCCGAUACAAAGGGCUGCGAUACCGCGAGGUGGAGCGAAUCCCAAAAAGUCGGUCUCAGUUCGGAUUGGGGUCUGCAACUCGACCCCAUGAAGUCGGAGUCGCUAGUAAUCGCAGAUCAGCAACGCUGCGGUGAAUACGUUCCCGGGCCUUGUACACACCGCCCGUCAAGUCAUGAAAGUCGGUAACACCCGAAGCCGGUGGCCUAACCCUU